rnacentral:lncRNA from 1 species
AUUAUGCGUAAGCACACAUACUUACCAUAAGUUCUCCAUGUACCCGAACACUAAAUGGUAUACAUGAGUAACUUAAAACACUGCUAUCCCCCGAAUAUGAAACGAUUAGGACACACAGAUCAAACUAUUUUUCCAUACACCCGAAUACAUAAUGGUUAUGCAUGGGUACACAAUUAUCACUUCACCAAUACACCCAAACACAUAACGGUUAUGUAUGGCCACAUUGAAUCCUAACAUAAUGCAGGUGUUUUCGGAACAACUCUUUUCCAUAAUCAGUGAUGCAAACAUAUCAAAAUCACAUUUCGAAAAUAAAAGGUGAAAUAAUACUUAU